rnacentral:lncRNA from 1 species
CUAUGCCCAGAUCCACCUUUUAUACACGAAAUUCAAUCAACAAUCAUUUGAUAGCCCCUAUUUAUCAUUGUUAAUUGCUUCAUACUAACCGACAGUCAUAUACUUGACACUUGCUACCAUUUUAAACAGCCCAUCCUUCAUGCAUUAUUAAAAAUUAAAAUCAGGGAUACAAGCAAAUUAAAAAUACAAAAAUAAAACCAUUCGUUGGUAUAACAUAUGACCAGUAAAGAUUAGUGGGAGAAUGCUACACGAACUAAUAUGGUCUAAUUAAUUGCAUCCCCUUUUGAUAAAUAUAUCAAGCAAAGCUUCAAAGCUACAGAGUAACCAUAACAUUGCAAGAAGAAUAAGGGAAACUCAUAGUUAGCACCACAUUUAUUUCCUUCUUAACUUAUGCUCCGAUUUACAUGUUAAAUGACAUCCAUGAAGAUCAAGAUAUACCUAUAUAUUGAAGAAGCAAAGAACAAGGUGAGGAAUCAACAAUAGUAACUGCAAAAAUCAGCACCAGCAAUACCAAUUCAAGCCAGGAAACUGAAUAUAAAGUAGUAGAAAAUAGGCUCAAUCAAACAAAGACCAAAGCAUCUUCAAAACCAAACUUUACAGACCCAAGCUCAAUCAAUAUUAGAUACCAGACUCAGCAAUCCUUUCAGAAAUUCAAACUUCAAAAAUUUCAGAAAAUAUUUUAAUGGAACAGUGAUUACUUGAACAAUUCAAUCAUUUUUUCCUUUUCCUCUAAUGUUUUGAACUUCCUUAAACUCUCAACUCUUAGCUCUCUUCCUUUCAGUAUUUUCUAGUUUUCAAAUCUCUCUUAAGCUCUUUAGGAUUUUUAUUUCUCUAUGUGUCUGUAUGUGUGUGUAUCUCUCAUACUUUCAGGGUGUUUUUAGUGUAUAUGUCUUUCUUGUGUUCAACUCUCUAUGGAUUUUUCAUAAUGUUCUUCGCUCACUGUAUUUCUCAGUUCCCUAUUGGAUUAUUCUGUAUAUUUUUAAGUAGGAAAUGGAAAAUGACCCUUGGAUUCACAAAAUGUCCUUUCAGGAUUUUAAAUUGAUUCCACUUACUCAAAUUCUUUAAAUUUAUUCAGUAAUGCAUCCUAAUCCUUACCAUCAUUAGAAACUUCUCAAAUUAGGUGGACAAUCAAAUUAUUGAAAAAUCCCCAUUGUUAUCUUAAAGUUUCUGUUUUUAAUUUGAAAUUUAGUGACCAAGCUUAACCCAAUUCACAUCAUUUCGGGAUAUUCAAUCUUUAACAACCAAAUAGAAUCUACUCGGGGAUUCCAAAUUCUAAAAAUUAACCAAGUUCAGUGUCUUCUACCAAAAGCAAAAACAAGCAACAUUUAAAUGGUUCGAAAUCUAAAUUGUAUAUAAGACUAAUUAACAAUAUACAAAAACAAGGAAUGAACUAAAGAGGAUCAAAUGAACAGUUAGUAGUUGUGAAUAAAACCUAAUGCAAAUUUUAACUAAGCUGUUUCAAAGAAAAGAAAAGAAUAAUAAGAAGGGAAACCAGAAUACAACAUAAAUCUCCAACAGAAGAACUUAUCGAUUAGGUUCGAAUCUUGAUGGAUCUUGAUGCUCUUGUUCGUUGCUAAGAACAAAUGAACGACGUUAUUCGAGGAUUGAAUCAUCUUGAACCUUGAAGAAAUUAUAAAAGAAAGACUCGUGCAUGCGAAACUAUGACCGGGCUCCUAAAGCUCAAACCUUAGUCCUAAAACUUGAAGAGCUCUAACCUCAUUCGAAGAGCACAAGGUGAGAUUUGAGAUGAGGAGGGGGAGGUAUUUGUCUGGGAUGAUUUUGGUGGUGAUUGGGGAAGGGGCCGCCGGGUUUAAGGUGGUAGAAGUGGGUGGCGGCUAGGGUUUCGAAUGGGGUGUUCGCUGAGAGUGGGAGGGGUGUGAGAGAGGUGAGUGAUUGACAGGAUUCUGAGGGGUGGGGUCGUUAUGGUGUUUUGUAUUUUUAAAACAGGGGAAUUUACAGAGACGUUGGAUUAGUGAAAUUUAACGGUUC